rnacentral:rRNA from 1 species
AUGCAAGUGUAAGUUCACGCCACGCAUUAGAACGGGCGAAACCGCGAAUGGCUCAGGAACCGGACCUAAUCCUCGGGACCGUAAUCCUCCUCGGAGGCGAUGGAUAACUGUGGCAAUUCUAGAGCUAAUACAUGUGACACAGGCCGCGAUCGGCCGUCGCGCCGUGGUCGCCUCGCCUCGCGCGCUGGCACCCGCGGCGGCCGUCUUGGGUCGCGGCGCUACAUAUUAGACUGAGACCGAUGCGCGAUUCCCGCCCUCCCGUUCGCUCUGGCCUUCGGGUCUCCGCGUUCGGGGCYAAAGGACGGCGCGCUCCGCUUUGGUGACUCUGGAUAACUCACUGGUCGAUCGCACGGGCUUCCACGCCCGGCGACGGGUCCCCCGAGGGUCCGCCCUAUCAACUGUCGACGGUCGGUUAAGUGCCUACCGUGGUUACUACGGGUAACGGGGAAUCGGGGUUCGAUUCCGGAGAGGGAGCAUGCGAAACGGCUACCACA